CUACGUGCCAGCAGCCGCGGUAAUACGUAGGUCCCGAGCGUUGUCCGGAUUUAUUGGGCGUAAAGCGAGCGCAGGCGGUUAGAUAAGUCUGAAGUUAAAGGCUGUGGCUUAACCAUAGUACGCUUUGGAAACUGUUUAACUUGAGUGCAGAAGGGGAGAGUGGAAUUCCAUGUGUAGCGGUGAAAUGCGUAGAUAUAUGGAGGAACACCGGUGGCGAAAGCGGCUCUCUGGUCUGUAACUGACGCUGAGGCUCGAAAGCGUGGGGAGCGAACAGGAUUAGAUACCCCGGUAGUCCUGGCCGUAAACGAUGGGUACUAGGUGUAGGAGGUAUCGACCCCUUCUGUGCCGGAGUUAACGCAAUAAGUACCCCGCCUGGGGAGUACGACCGCAAGGUUGAAACUCAAAGGAAUUGACGGGGGCCCGCACAAGCGGUGGAGUAUGUGGUUUAAUUCGAAGCAACGCGAAGAACCUUACCAGGUCUUGACAUCCCUCUGACCGCUCUAGAGAUAGAGCUUUCUUCGG
rnacentral:rRNA from 1 species